rnacentral:SRP_RNA from 1 species
GCUGGGCAUGGUGGCGCAUGCCUGUAAUCCCAGCUACUUGGGAGGCUGAGGCAGGAGAAUCGCUUGAACCCGGGAGGCAGAGGUUGCAGUGGGCGGAGAUCGCGCCAUUGCACUCCAGCCUGGGCGACAGAGUGAAACACUGUCUCAA